GUAAAAUUAUCGUUUAUUGUUUACCCGGUUUUAUGAAAGUCUGAAGGUUUUAUGAAAGGCGGAAACAAAAGAGCUUAACGUUAUAUAGAAACAUACGCGGAUGCGGUUUUCACCUCAGAAACGGAGGUCUUAACGGUCUCCUUUAACGUUACUGAACGGAAGAGGUACUUUUAAUAUAACGUCCGUGAGUGUCUUAUGUCAUAUUUACAUAAUAUUUUACAAUAUCUGCACUUUUUGAGGUGUUAAUAGACGGUUAUGGUUACGGUUACACUCAUGUUAAUUUAUCUUUUUUUUUCGCGGUUAAACAGAAUGUAAGUUAGUUUCCUAAAGGAACCCGCGUUAUGUAAUAAAGACUAGCAUGAUUAUUUUAAGGCUGUUGAUGUGGUAAUUGUUAAAAGUAUGUUUUACAUGUAAUAUUUCAGACUUGUUGAGCUCGUGUCUUCAUUAAAGACACAGAAGUCUGCUCUUGUGAGGAGUCACAGACUGUGUGAGGAGGAGGUGGUGUUCUCAGCUUCUUCUGAGGAGAGGGAGAGACGGGUUUAAGAUGUUGAAAGCCAGAGACAUAGCAGAGCAUCAUUCUUUUGAGAUUUAUAACUCAAACCAUCUUUGGAGGUGUCUGGUUUGGAGAGUCAUCAUUCUUGGUCUUCCCUCUUAAAGGAAUAGUUCAGACAAAAAAAUAAUUUACUUGCCCUCAUGUCAUUCCAAACCUAUACGACUUUUUUCUGUCUUUACAACACAAAUUAAUAUAUUUUUAAUUUUCUCAUAAUUUUUAGUUAAUCCAUUGAGAGUCAAGAUAAUCAGUAUUUUCAAGCCUCCUAAAUACAGAGUUACUGUAGAAGUAAUCAUUCCGAUAUUUAUAUAUGAAUAAAUCUUAAAUGAUAUGAUAGCAAACACGUAUGUUCAAAAUAAAAUAUUGGUCUCCCACACUUACAAUGGAGGACAAAAAUUAAGGGAAUAUUAAAUAUGUUUAUUUGUGUUCCAAAAAUUAGCAGAGUUUGUAUGGGUCUGGAACAACAUGGGGGAGAGUAAAUUAUGACCAUUUUCAUUUUUUUGGUGAACUAACCCUUUGAAGAGCAGUCCUCCACGUAAAUGAACAUUUGUGAGGCCACUGAUGAAGAACAGGCGGUGACUGGGAUGAAUACUGGUCAAAGAAGAGAAUGUCCUUUCCCCUAAACUGAUGCAACAGUGGUUUUAAAGGAGGAUGCUGCCCUGGAUGAUGUAGAAGAUGUCACAUGUGCUGAUGGGGCUUCUUACAUCAAUUAUGCUGAAGAGAUCAUGAAAGUUGACAGUGAUGCAUGAUCUGUAUUCAUGGACUGUGAAACAAACUGUAAGUGUAUAAUUUGUAAAAACAAUGUUAAAUGCUUGUUCUGUGUUUAGUAAAAGAGUUUACACUCUGUCAUUCAUACACAUGCUCACAUUCUUUCACACACACACACACACGUCUGUUAAAUGUUAUAAUAUCAGUGUUAAUAUUGUGGUUUAUUUGUGUACUGUCAUGCUAGAAUAGUUGGUAAAGAACUUAACUAAUUGUACAUUUAUUGUAUAAUAGUGUGUUCGUAUAUUUUUAUACAGUAUAUAAAAUUUAAGUCCAAUUUGAUCUUAAAAGUUAUAUUCAACAAAUGUUCAAUGCUUUAUUUAUGAACUCUGUAGCUGUUAAUGCCAUACUUUUCUGCAUUUCUU
ensembl:lncRNA